GAGCCAAACAGCUAGCUUAACCACCUAAAUACUCAAAACAACAUUAAAACACUUCACAAAUCAACAACCAAACUAAACCAAAACAUUUUCCCGCCCUAGUAUGUGAGACAAAAAAGG
rnacentral:rRNA from 1 species